AAGCUGCGACAAAAAUGGCGAGCACGCCAGGAUCAAUAAUUUGUUCGAAUUAUUGAUAUAACGAAACGAAAAUGAACUUUUUAUUGGCACCUUCACGAGGGGGUAAUUUUGACAAAUUUAUCAGAAGAUUUCAGUAUUCGAUGCAAUAAGACAAAAGCAAAUUCUUUAUUGGCAAUUUGUAAUUUAACUUCUGGACAGUGUCUCAUCAUGGCGUCCACCUGUUUUACUGCAGGAGACCUCUAUAUUCCGAAAGAGGAACGUGUGAAUGAUUUGAUAAAUCAUAUUAUCAGCGAGGUUGGUGAAUAUGUUCAUAUUAAUGGUCGUAUGGGACGUUGUGGAAAUUCGGAAAUGUAUCAAAUUGGUCCGGUCGUUCGUGAAGGUUCUCGUGCAUGCACAGCAGGAAGUUCCUGACUGCAUGGGUAAUGGCAUGCUACAUGAUAUUAAUGGUCGUAUGGAUACCUCGUAGUAUUGCUUUGUCAAAGGUAGCAAAUUUAUGGUUCGGUCCGCGCAUGCACAGCAAGUAGUUCCUGACUGCAUGGUCCGUAGCAUAAUAUGAUGAAGGUGCUAUGGAUACCAGUUUUGAUCCAAAUGAUGGGAAGUUUGGUACUCGGGACAAAAGAAGAACGAGCGGUGUUGAAUAUAGUCGUGCCAAUGGAGACACUCUACUAGAUCACGUCGAAAGCAGAGUAGCUUCUACGUCAAACCUCAAUAGAGAGGGCGGUGGCUUCGAUGAUGAUGACAAUUGGGAGUAAAACCUGCAUCUAUUGAUAUGCAUAUUCCGAUGUAAAUAGAUUUUUGAGCGAUGUCGAAAUUCAGACAUAUCAUGAGCAUAUUUAUGUUAUCAUGAACAGUUUUAUGAUAUUUUAAUGGGGGCAUGUUUCAGCCCUUUGACUACGUUAUGGUCGCUUCAUGAAUAAGUGUAUAAUUUGAGUUGUGUUAAGGUGUUUUAACCAACUUUUCGUGACCUAAAAUGACUGCGAUUUUGAUUCAACUGGUUUUAAAAGACUUUUUGCUCGUAAGUGUUCAGAUUUCGAAUUCAUAAGUAGUCUUAUAUAUGUGUACAGCCCUAGUUUAUUGCUUCGUUUUGAGGAGGAUUUUUGUGUUUGGGUCACUCUUGUCUGUACCUCCGUUUGUACAUUUUUAUGUGUUUAUCAAGCAUGGUAGGGAGGGCAUAUGUGUAUAGCACUAGUUUUUUAUUUUGUUUGUAGUCCGAUCUCUGAUAUAGUGAGACUUUAGAAUUUGAUUUUCAGUAUUAGUUUUGAUAUUUGCGUGUUCGACAUGACCACGCAAGAUCAUGACAUUUUAAGGGGGGGGGGGGGACUGUGUGACAGUAUUUUUCCGCGUGUUCAUGAUUCUUUGUUUUCCUGUAUUUGUAAUUUGUUAUUGCUGUGUUAAGUAAUGAUUUUCUAUUGCCUCGUUGUUGUGUUGCGUAAUUAUUAACACCGAAUGUGAGAAUGAGAAGGCAUUGUCUUCCACGUUCGGGGCGGUGACACACAGUCGAGUUUGGUGUUUCUUGUGUUGAGUUUGUGUUGUAUUCACCCAAAGUUGAAAUAUUGCUGUUUUUAAAAUAAGAAUAAAGCCGCAGUCGAGCCUCGGA